rnacentral:rRNA from 1 species
CCUACGGGUGGCAGCAGUGGGGGAUAUUGCACAAUGGGGGAAACCCUGCUGCAGCGACGCCGCGUGUGGGAAGACGGUCCUCUGGAUUGUAAACCACUGUCCCCAGGGACGAAGAUGACGGUACCUGGGGAGGAAGCUCCGGCUAACUACGUGCCAGCAGCCGCGGUAAUACGUAGGGAGCGAGCGUUGUCCGGAAUUACUGGGUGUAAAGGGAGCGUAGGCGGGGAUGCAAGUUGGGUGUCAAAACUACCGGCUCAACUGGUAGUCGCACUCAAAACUGCAGCUCUUGAGUGAAGUAGAGGCAGGCGGAAUUCCUAGUGUAGCGGUGAAAUGCGUAGAGAUUAGGAGGAACACCAGUGGCGAAGGCGGCCUGCUGGACUGCAACUGACGUUGAGGCCCGAAAGCGUGGGGAGCAAACAGGAUUAGAUACCCUAGUAGUC